CACACCGCCCGUCACAUCAUGAAAGCCGUUUGUACCCGAAGUCACUACGCUAACCGCAAGGAAGCCGGUGCCGAAGGUAUGGAUGGUGAUUGGGAUG
rnacentral:rRNA from 1 species